UAGUGUUACAGCUCUUUUAGAAUUUGUCUGUCAGGCUUUCUUUCUGUGUUUUUUUUUUUUUUUUUGCCAGAAAGCCCCU
rnacentral:snRNA from 1 species